AUACGGAGGAUCCGAGCGUUAUCCGGAUUUAUUGGGUUUAAAGGGUGCGCAGGCGGGAGAUUAAGUCGGCGGUGAAAUUUUGCAGCUCAAAUGUAAAAAUGCCUUCGAAACUGGUUUCCUUGAGUGUAGAUGAAGUAGGCGGAAUUUGUGGUGUAGCGGUGAAAUGCAUAGAUAUCACGAGGAACUCCGAUUGCGCAGGCAGCUUACUAAACUACUACUGACGCUCAGGCACGAAGGCGUGGGGAUCAAACAGGAUUAGAUACCCUGGUAGUCCACGCAGUAAACGAUGAUUACUAGCUGUUUGCGAUACAAUGUAAGCGGCUGAGCGAAAGCGUUAAGUAAUCCACCUGGGGAGUACGUUCGCAAGAAUGAAACUCAAAUGAAUUGGCGGGG
rnacentral:rRNA from 1 species